CAGCAGCCACGGUAAUACGGAGGGGGCAAGCGUUAUCCGGAAUUAUUGGGCGUAAAGGGUACGUAGGUGGCCUUUUAAGCGUAGGGUAUAAGGCAAUGGCUCAACCAUUGUUCGCCCUAUGAACUGGAAGGCUUGAGUGCAGGAGAGGAAAGCGGAAUUCCUAGUGUAGCGGUGGAAUGCAUAGAUAUUAGGAGGAACAUCAGCGGCGAAGGCGGCUUUCUGGACUGCAACUGACACUGAGGUACGAAAGCGUGGGGAGCAAACAGGAUUAGAUACCCCCGUAGUCCCUGUCUCUUAUACC
rnacentral:rRNA from 1 species